AUACGGAGGAUGCAAGCGUUAUCCGGAUUUAUUGGGUUUAAAGGGUGCGUAGGCGGUUUGCUAAGCGGGAGGUGAAAUGCCGGCGCUCAACGUCGGAAGUGCCUCCCGAACUGGUGGACUGGAAUGACUCUGCCGUGGGAGGAAUGUGUAGUGUAGCGGUGAAAUGCUUAGAGAUUACACAGAACACCGAUUGCGAAGGCAUCUCACGAAGGGUUGAUUGACGCUGAGGCACGAAAGCGUGGGGAUCAAACAGGAUUAGAUACCCUGGUAGUCCGCACAGUAAACGAUGGACACCCGCGGUUUGGCCUAUAUGGCUGAGCCGCCAAGCGAAAGCGUUAAGUGUCCCACCUGGGGAGUACGCCGGCAACGGUGAAACUCAAAGGAAUUGGCGGGG
rnacentral:rRNA from 1 species